AGCUUGUUGGAUGAGAUGAAACACAGAUCUAAGACCUACUCGCCUGCAGCUUCGCCGGAUGUAGCUUCUUUUUCUUCAAUGGGGGGCACGAAGAAGAUGCCCUUACUCAACACUGCAUACAAUGCCGGGUGACAGGAAGCCAUGUUGCCAUUUUGUUUGUUCCCAGCCCCGACUGGUCGUCCGGCGAGUCCGUCAUGUUGUCAUUUUCUUGUAUUGGCAUGGAUAGAGCUUGUUACUGUUGUUGCCAAUGUAUUAUGUGAUCUGGUUGCUCUUAUUUGAAGUAUUAUGUGUGCU